CCUACGGGGGGCAGCAGUGGGGAAUAUUGGACAAUGGGGGCAACCCUGAUCCAGCCAUGCCGCGUGUGUGAAGAAGGCCCUCGGGUUGUAAAGCACUUUCAGUGAGGAAGAACGCCUGGUGGUUAAUACCCAUCAGGAAAGACAUCACUCACAGAAGAAGCACCGGCUAACUCCGUGCCAGCAGCCGCGGUAAUACGGAGGGUGCGAGCGUUAAUCGGAAUUACUGGGCGUAAAGCGCGCGUAGGUGGCUUGAUAAGCCGGUUGUGAAAGCCCCGGGCUCAACCUGGGAACGGCAUCCGGAACUGUCAAGCUAGAGUGCAGGAGAGGAAGGUAGGAUUCCCGGUGUAGCGGUGAAAUGCGUAGAGAUCGGGAGGAAUACCAGUGGCGAAGGCGGCCUUCUGGACUGACACUGACACUGAGGUGCGAAAGCGUGGGUAGCAAACAGGAUUAGAUACCCCGGUAGUC
rnacentral:rRNA from 1 species